rnacentral:rRNA from 1 species
AAUCAACGCUGGCGGCGUGCCUAACACAUGCAAGUCGAACGCGAAAGCCCCGCAAGGGGCAAGUAGAGUGGCAAACGGGUGAGUAACGCGUGGGUGACCUGCCUUCGAGCGGGGGAUAACGUUCCGAAAGGGACGCUAAUACCGCAUAACAUCCUGCCCUUGAACGGGUGGCGAUCAAAGCUGGGGAUUCGCAAGAACCCGGCACUUGAAGAGGGGCCCGCGUCUGAUUAGCUAGNGGUGAGGUAACGGCUCACCAAGGCAACGAUCAGUAUCCGGCCUGAGAGGGCGGACGGACACACUGGGACUGAGACACGGCCCAGACUCCUACGGAGGCAGCAGUGGGAAUUGUUCGCAAUGGGCGCAAGCCUGACGACGCAACGCCGCGUGGAGGAUGAA